CGCCAGCAUUCUGGCGGGCAUGCCUGUUCGAGCGUCAUUUCAACCCUCGACCUCCCCUUGGGGAGGUCGGCGUUGGGGACCGGCAGCACACCGCCGGCCCUGAAAUGGAGUGGCGGCCCGUCCGCGGCGACCUCUGCGCAGUAAUACAGCUCGCACCGGGACCCCGACGCGGCCACGCCGUAAAACACCCAACUUCUGAACGUUGACCUCGAAUCAGGUAGGACUACCCGCUGAACUUAAGCAUAUCAAUAAGCGGAGGAAAAGAAACCAACAGGGAUUGCCCCAGUAACGGCGAGUGAAGCGGCAACAGCUCAAAUUUGAAAUCUGGCUCUCAGGGCCCGAGUUGUAAUUUGUAGAGGAUGCUUUUGGCGAGGUGCCUUCCGAGUUCCCUGGAACGGGACGCCACAGAGGGUGAGAGCCCCGUAUGGUCGGACACCGAGCCUCUGUAAAGCUCCUUCGACGAGUCGAGUAGUUUGGGAAUGCUGCUCAAAAUGGGAGGUAUAUGUCUUCUAAAGCUAAAUAUUGGCCAGAGACCGAUAGCGCACAAGUAGAGUGAUCGAAAGAUGAAAAGCACUUUGAAAAGAGGGUUAAAAAGUACGUGAAAUUGUUGAAAGGGAAGCGCCUAUGACCAGACUUGCGCCCGGUGAAUCACCCAGCGUUCUCGCUGGUGCACUUUGCCGGGCACAGGCCAGCAUCAGUUCAGCGCGGGGGAGAAAGGCUUCGGGAAUGUGGCUCCCUCGGGAGUGUUAUAGCCCGCUGCGUAAUGCCCUGCGCCGGACUGAGGUACGCGCAUUGCAAGGAUGCUGGCGUAAUGGUCAUCAGCGACCCGUCUUGAAACACGGACCAAGGAGUCGUCUUCGUAUGCGAGUGUUCGGGUGUCAAACCCCUACGCGUAAUGAAAGUGAACGUAGGUGAGAGCUUCGGCGCAUCACCGACCGAUCCUGAUGUUCUCGGAUGGAUUUGAGUAAGAGCAUACGGGGCCGGACCCGAAAGAAGGUGAACUAUGCCUGUAUAGGGUGAAGCCAGAGGAAACUCUGGUGGAGGCUCGCAGCGGUUCUGACGUGCGAAUCGAUCGUCAAAUAUGGGCAUGGGGGCGAAAGACUAAUCGAACCUUCUAGUAGCUGGUUUCCGCCGAAGUUUCCCUCAGGAUAGCAGUGUUGAACUCAGUUUUAUGAGGUAAAGCGAAUGAUUAGGGACUCGGGGGCGCUAUAUUGCCUUCAUCCAUUCUCAAACUUUAAAUAUGUAAGAAGCCCUUGUUACUUGAUUGAACGUGGGCAUUCGAAUGUAUCAACACUAGUGGGCCAUUUUUGGUAAGCAGAACUGGCGAUGCGGGAUGAACCGAACGCGAGGUUAAGGUGCCGGAGUGGACGCUCAUCAGACACCACAAAAGGUGUUAGUACAUCUUGACAGCAGGACGGUGGCCAUGGAAGUCGGAAUCCGCUAAGGACUGUGUAACAACUCACCUGCCGAAUGUACUAGCCCUGAAAAUGGAUGGCGCUCAAGCGUUCCACCCAUACCUCGCCCUCAGGGUAGGAACGAAGCCCUGAGGAGUAGGCGGACGUGGAGGUCAGUGACGAAGCCUAGGGCGUGAGCCCGGGUCGAACGGCCCCUAGUGCAGAUCUUGGUGGUAGUAGCAAAUACCUCAAUGAGAACUUGAAGGACCGAAGUGGAGAAAGGUUCCAUGUGAACAGCAGUUGGACGUGGGUUAGUCGAUCCUAAGCCAUAGGGAAGUUCCGUUUCAAAGGC
rnacentral:rRNA from 1 species